rnacentral:rRNA from 1 species
AGGAUUAACGCUGGCGGCGUGCCUAACACAUGCAAGUCGAACGAGGUAGCAAUACCUAGUGGCAGACGGGUGAGUAACGCGUGGUCAACCUACCGUUGAGUGGGGGAUAACUAGCCGAAAGGUUAGCUAAUACCGCAUACGUCUCCGAGGGGCAUCCCUUGGCGAUAAAAGGAGCAAUCCGCUCGAUGACGGGACCGCGCCCCAUUAGCUAGAUGGUGGGGUAACGGCCUACCAUGGCACCGAUGGGUAGCUGGUUUGAGAGAGCGACCAGCCACACUGGGACUGAGAAACGGCCCAGACUCCUACGGGAGGCAGCAGUGAGGAAUUUUCCGCAAUGGGCGCAAGCCUGACGGAGCGACGCCGCGUGUGGGAAGAAGGCCUUCGGGUCGUAAACCACUGUCGAAGGGGACGAUAAUGACGGUACCCUUGGAGGAAGCCCCGGACUAACGUACGCGCCAGCAGCCGC